GACGUACACAGCUGUGUGCGUG
rnacentral:miRNA from 1 species